rnacentral:rRNA from 1 species
AGAGUUUGAUCCUGGCUCAGGACGAACGCUGACGGCGUGCUUUAGACAUGCAAGUCGAACGAGAAAGCCCUUCGGGGUGAGUAAAGUGGCGAACGGGUGAGUAACACGUGGGCAACCUGCCCCUCGCAGGGGGACAACCGGGGGAAACUCCGGCUAAUACCCCGUAAGCUUGUCGGACCGCAUGGUACUGACAAGGAAAGGUAGCUUCGGCCAUCCGGCGAGGGAUGGGCCCGCGGUACAUUAGCUAGUUGGUGGGGUAACGGCCCACCAAGGCGACGAUGUAUAGCUGGUCUGAGAGGAUGAUCAGCCACACUGGGACUGAGACACGGCCCAGACUCCUACGGGAGGCAGCAGUCGGGAAUCUUGCGCAAUGGGCGAAAGCCUGACGCAGCAACACCGUGUGAGCGACGAAGGCCUUCGGGUCGUAAAGCUCUGUUGUUGGGGACGAAGGGUUAGGGGUUAAUAGCCCCGAGCCUGACGGUACCCUUCGAGGAAGCCCCGGCUAACUACGUGCCAGCAGCCGCGGUAAUACGUAGGGGGCGAGCGUUGUCCGGAAUUAUUGGGCGUAAAGAGCGUGUAGGCGGUUCGGUAAGUCUGCCGUGAAAACCCAGGGCUCAACCCUGGGCGUGCGGUGGAUACUGCCGGGCUAGAGGGUGGUAGAGGCGAGUGGAAUUCCCGGUGUAGCGGUGAAAUGCGCAGAUAUCAGGAGGAACACCGGUGGCGAAGGCGGGUCUCUGGGCCGAUACUGACGCUGAGGAGCGAAAGCGUGGGGAGCGAACAGGAUUAGAUACCCCCGUAGUCC